AGAGUUUGAUCCUGGCUCAGGAUAAACGCUGGCGGCGCACAUAAGACAUGCAAGUCGAACGAACUUAAUUCGAAUGUUUACAUUUGGAAGCGGUUAGUGGCGGACUGGUGAGUAACACGUAAGCAACCUGCCUGUUAGAGGGGAAUAACAGUGAGAAAUCAUUGCUAAUACCGCAUAUGCCACAGAAACCACAUGGUUUUAGUGGAAAAGGAGAAAUCCGCUAACAGAUGGGCUUGCGUCUGAUUAGAUAGUUGGUGGGGUAAAGGCCUACCAAGUCGACGAUCAGUAGCCGAACUGAGAGGUUGAACGGCCACAUUGGGACUGAGAUACGGCCCAGACUCCUACGGGAGGCAGCAGUCGGGAAUAUUGCACAAUGGAGGGAACUCUGAUGCAGUGACGCCGCGUGCAGGAAGAAGGUUUUCGGAUUGUAAACUGCUUUAGACAGGGAAGAAAAAGACAGUACCUGUAGAAUAAGCUCCGGCUAACUACGUG
rnacentral:rRNA from 1 species